CAUCAAGCAAAAACCUAUUCCAAACUUUACUCGACUCCAGCAAUAGCUCAAUUACUAGACUCAGUCCCAAGCAUUCACAAGACCAAGCAUGCUCGCAGAUCAUAACAAAACCAAAAGCUUAUUUACUACCAUAUAUUGUGUUUCAAGAUCCAAAAGCAUUGUCAUGGUCAUAUCUGGCUCAUGUCACAACAAUGCUCCAAAGCAAAGGAGAAAAGACUAUUAAGCAGACGCCAUAAUGCUGAACAAACUUGAUUUAACAUAUAAGCUGAUAUGGUUGUUGGAUUUAAAUCUAUUUUGAA